rnacentral:rRNA from 1 species
UACGAAGGGGGCUAGCGUUGCUCGGAAUCACUGGGCGUAAAGGGUGCGUAGGCGGGUCUUUAAGUCAGGGGUGAAAUCCUGGAGCUCAACUCCAGAACUGCCUUUGAUACUGAAGAUCUUGAGUUCGGGAGAGGUGAGUGGAACUGCGAGUGUAGAGGUGAAAUUCGUAGAUAUUCGCAAGAACACCAGUGGCGAAGGCGGCUCACUGGCCCGAUACUGACGCUGAGGCACGAAAGCAUGGGGAGCGAACAGG